UGGCUGCUUAUCCUUUUUUAAGCAGCAACCGCAGGGCAAGGACGGCGGUGGAGGUGAUGCUUCCUCCUCUGGCGAGCGGGCCGGCGCUGAGAGAGCCCCUCUAGCGUCCCAAACCAAACGGGCCUAAACGGUGGUGGUGGGGAAGCAGGCAAUUCCUCGUCCCUUUUUGCCCCCCGAAACGAGGGUAGGUCGCAGUUAAAAGCCCUCCUCUGUCCCAGCUGACAGUUUGAAAGCAGCCAUUUUUAAAAGGCUAAUUGUAAGCUGCUUUCAGAGGCGGCUGGUGGGCUGAAUCCCUCCUCUCGCUCCCCCUCCGCCGGGUCUACUUAGAUCCGUCUCUCUUUUCCUGCCAGGCCCCUCCUCGGCCCAUGUGAGCGGCGGCGGCGGCGGCUCCUCUCUAGAGGAAUCCCUCCCCCCCCCCCCCCCCGCCCCAAGCAGGGAAGACGCAAACGACUCCGUUUCCAGCCCAGGAGAUUCGUUGCUGCUGAAGCAACUGCGUGGAAACGACUGGAGCUAACAGCUCUGGCCACAGCUGAAAGCUAAGCCAAGUUGGUGGAAGUCCUUAAUAGGCUCCUGAAGAAAGUAAUACUGUUGGUCAAUGGAGAACCUGUUCAGAGACUGCACAGCCAGCCUGGCCUGGAAGGGGCUGCAUUUCUCCUGAAGGAGCAAGUUUGUAGUUUGUUUGGUCAGCUCCUUUUUCAAGAGAAAGAUUUAUGAUUCCCUUCUCCUCCAGCAGCUCUGUCACUAUUAAAAGCAAUGUGUUUACUGUACAGUCAGCUUUUCCUAAAAAUAAUUGGAUGUAUGCUUCUUCUGGGGGCACUAGAGACAGAUCAGCAUCUGCAACAAUCUCUACCUGUGACAACCUGGGUUCUGCACUCAAAGCAAAGCCUCAGACAAUAUAUGCCUCACUGUCUGAGACAGCGAUCAGCUUGGAUUUUCCUCAAUAGAGACACAACGUCAUUGGAAGAAGACUCAUUAUAGGAAAUGACAAAUGGCGUAUAAUGACAUAGCGUUCUUGCUAUAUUAUACAAGGAGAAUUUUUUGUCGUUGUUAGUGUACAUUCUGGUUUAAUGGCAUUGGGUGAAACCUCCCAAAUAAAUGGUUAAAAAUAA